GACAGACACAAAAAAAAAACUUCCAUGAAAGUGCACUCAGAAUCUAAAAGCGGGGUCCACCCAUCCUCUAAGCCAACACAUGGCCUUUUCGGCUUUAUCGUUUUUGCCUUUGGCGAUUAACCAAAUGGGAGACUCUGGGAUCUAAACAAGCAGAAUGAAAAAACAGCAUAAAACAUUAAUUCAAACGACAAAGUGUGCUCAACAGUGCAACAGUACGCCAGUCAAACAAUGAACCCAAAAUGAAUCCCAACAGUGAUCCAAACAAAGCUGCUGUAUUCGUUAUCGAUGCCAUAGAUCCCCUGAGCCUUGGUUCUGUUAUUUCCC